GGAUUUGGUAGCUUAGUUGGUAGAGCGGUGGGAUAGAAUCCCAAAGCCGUGAGUUCGAUCCUCACUCGUGUUCA